UUUUAUUUUCUCUUUUUUUCAUACAAACGUCAUCAUUUCACUAUUGAUUUGAAAUAAACAUGUGUACUUAUGAUAAAAAUCCAUGCUAUCAUUACAAGGCCAAUACACAUAAAAGUCAGAUAUGUCAAUUUUAUUUUUAGAAACAGUUGCGGUCACAAAGUAAUUGACAGAAUAAAAUGUACAUUUCAACAUAUUUUUUCACACAAAAAUGUGUUUGUGCGUAGAAAUGUGAUCAGGCUGAGUACAUGGCCUUAUGGAUUACAUAAUUUUCGGCGCUUAACGUAAAAACAGUUCAAGGACAGGAUUCACAAACAUUCAAUUUAUGCUUAAAUGUACAGGCGAUACAUUAUGCAUAUGAAUUUAGUUCACGAUAGUAUCGUAUAUGGAAGUAACUGGAAUAAAUCUGGACUAUUUCAUUCGGAUGUUUACAUGACUGUGCUGUCAAAAGGCCUCCCAUGUGUUUACAUAUUUUGACAGGUCGAGUUGCUCUUGCAGGAACGACGAUAAGAUGAAUACAUGCACCAUGGAAAUAUUGUAGAUCUAAUUUGUAAACUGUCGUGGAACCUGUGUUCGGCUCGCAUAUUUCCUAUUCUACAGGAAUGCAUAAUGGAGACCAACAGUACAGAAAGAUGAAGAUGUAAAUUGAUUCAAAUAAACAAUGGGACAAUGAAUGCUAUAAUUACCAAGAAGAAGACUGCAUUUUUAUACAGUUAAAGUAUGAUAUGGGGAAUAAAUACCCUCAAUGCAGCCUUAUGGAGCUUUGCCUAGACCAUGAACAGUAGACAUCAAAAAGAUGCUCAUCUAAAGGGCCACAACUGUUUGAAGCAUUGGUUAACAAAAAAAACUCAACUAUUUGAUGGAUCAUACAGAAUGUACAAUCACAUUUCCAGAAUCAGAGAAAUAAAAGUAUCAAAGUAUUAGGGAGAUAGGAAAAUAUGCAUCAUGCAUGAAGAACUUGCCUUAGAUUAAUUUGAAAAAUACUUAAGAAAGGUGUUAUCUUCUGGAAAAUAUGUGUCCAAUCAAUACUGCAACAACAUUGUUUCUUUUUUUUUCAAUUUUCUGAGCAUAAUUCAACAUAAUUAUUGUACAUAAAAAUUGUAACAUGGUUACUUGAAUAAUACAAAACGUGUAAUCAUAUUUCCAGACAGAAAUUGGGAGAAUCAGAAAAGAAAUAUCAAGAAUUAGGGAAAAAGAAAUAUCUGCAUGAAGAACCUGCUUUAUAUUAAUUUACAAAAUACUUUGAAGCCUCAAAACUGUUAAUCAUUAUACAUAUGGAAGAUUAAAAAUGCGCAUUUUGAUAAAUCAUCUACUGGCACAAUAUUUGUUUUUCAAUUCACUGAGCAUAGUUCUACAUAAACAAUGUAACUUAAUAAUCUAGUCUUUGAAAAAGUAUAAGUCUUUCAUACUUGUUUUAUAGAAAACGUGUCACGAUGUUUCAAUGCAAAUGUGCUUUUGCUUUUCUUGUGGUGUGGAAAGUGAUAUUCAAAUAAUGUUUUUCUCAUUUUCAGUAUUUUUUUCCAUGAUUGGGUGGAUUUUCAAAUUACUUGGCACGGUUAUUAAAUGUUAUAUUCCGAUGUGACACAUGCUAGAUUCAAAUGGUAGUCAAGGUCACAAUUAAGUAGUCAAAAACUGAACUUUUUCUGUCUGUAACUUUUUAGCUCACCUGAGCACGAAGUGCUCAAAGGUGAGCCUUUGUGAUCUCCCUGUGUCCGUUGUCCGUCAGUCGUCGACAGUUUGACUGUUAACACUCUAGACGUCACAAUUUUUGCCCAAUCUUAAUGAAACUCGGUCAGACUGUUACUAUCAAUUAAAUCUUUGACGAGUUUGAUAUUGGGUAAUCUGGGAUCAAAAACUAAGUCACUAGGUCAAACCAAAUGAAAAGCUUGUUAACAAUCUAGAGGAGGCCACAUUUAUGAAUAUCUUCAUGCAACUAUGUCAGAAUGUUAAUCUUGAUGAUCUUUAGGUUAAUUUUGAAUCUGGGUUAGGUGAGGUCAAAAGCUAGGUCACCGGGUCAAAUCAAAAGAAAAGCUUGUUAACGCUCUAAAGGCCACAUUUAUGACUGUAUCUUCAUGAAACUUGGUCAGAAUGUUAACCUUUAUUAUGUUUAGGUCAAGCUUAAAUUAAGGUCAAGUGGAGUCAGAAACUAGGUCACCAGGUCAAAUCAAGGGUAAGCUUGUUACACUCUUAGAGGCCACAUUUAUGACUAUACCUUAAUGAAACUUGGUCAGAAUGUUAACCUUGACAAUCUUUAGGCCAAUGCCAAAUCUGGGUCAGGUGGGGUCAAAAAAUAGGUCACUAGGUCAAAUCAAAGGAACAGCUUGUUAACACUCUAGAAGUCACAUUUGUGACUGUAUCUUCAUGAAACUUGGUCAGAAUGUUAACCUUGAUUAUCUUUAGGUCAAGUAGUCAGAAACUAGGCCAACAGGUUAAAUAAAGGGUAAGCUUGUUACACUCUAGAGGUCACAUUUAUGACUAUACCUUAAUGAAAGUUAGUCAGAAUGUUAACCGUGACGAUCUUUAGGUCAAGGUCAAAUCUGGAUCAGGUGGGGUCAAAAACUAUGUCACCAGGUCAAAUCAAAAGAAAAGCUAGUUAACACUCUAGAGGCCACAUUUAUGAUCAUACUAUAAUGAAAUUAGGUCAGAAUGUUAAACUUGACCUUUAGGUAAAAGUCAAAUCUGGGUCAGAUGGGGUCAAAAACUAGGUCACCAGGUCAAAUCAUAGGAAAAGUCUGUUAACACCCUAGAGACCACUGUAUCUUCAUGAAACUUGGACAGAAUGUUAAUCUUGAUGAACUUUAUGUCAAGUUUGAAUCUGGGUAAUGUGGAAUGUGACCUACUGACCUACGUUUUUGUGUUUUAACAUACAACCUUGAAAUUUGGAUGGCAUGUACAGUUUUGCACCCUAAUCUUAAAACUGACUUCAGUGACCAUGAAUGUGACCUACUGACCUACUAUCUUCAGGUUAGUGAUACAGGGCCUUCAGGGCCCUCUUGUUAUGAAUGUAUUGCAGCUCACAUAACUUGGCACAAAUAUUCAUUAUAACAAGAUGACAUGUAUGUAAAUUUCAUGACUGGGACUUCUAGCUCUAGGUUAGUGUUAUAUAUAGAAGCUCCCUUUAAACUAGGUUAAAAUGAAACCAGCUUACUACGUUAUGAAAACUUUUAAAGCAUACUUAUUCCAAGAUAUAUAAUAAAAUCCUUUUAUGUCUCCGGUGUCAAAGAACUUAACCCAUACAGUUGCCAUCAAAUUCAUAUAAAACUCUGUUUACAUCAUCAACAUGAAGGGGACGUGAGCAAUGCAUCAGGACUUUUAUGCCUAAUUAUUUUUUUCUGGAGUUGUUGCCCUUUUGGACCUCGAAAUAAAUCCAUCACAUUGUAAACUUAAGUCCUACAGUUUCCAUCCAACUGAACUAAAACUUGGUAUACAUCAACGGCAUGAAGUGGAUAUGUACAUAUUGCCCUGACUUUUAUGAUCGAUUAUUUUGUCUGGAGUUGUGGCCCUUCUUUGACGACUAAUGACAACUACAUUGUAGUUUCCUACAUUUCUGUUCAUUUCAAUUAAAACUUAUUAAGCAUCAUGGACAUUAUGUAGACAUGUGCAUUUGUUUUGUGUUCAGUUGUUUUAUGUCAUUUUUACUUAAUAACAUUUGUAGUCCUGUUUGACGCCAUAUAAACUAUACUGUGUUGGUGCGCCGUAAAACCCAAAUAAAUAAAUAAAUAAAUUAUUGAGCCGUCGGUAUACUACAUUAUUGAAUGAAACAUUUUCUGUCAGCACAAUUCUAGUUCCUUUGGCAACCUCCAUGAAGGAAUAUUGUCAAACUGUACAGAUAAAGGGAAGUAACACUGUGUUGGAGUUUUGUUCCUUUUGUAGCACAACUUUCAAUGCAUAAUUGUGUAUUGAUAAUAUAUACUUUUAUUUGUGUGGACAUGCAUGAAUUUGUUAUGCUGCAAAAUAAAACAGUUGUCAUAAAUUACUGUCCCUUUCAUUCUUUUUAUCAUUAAUAGCACAGGCAUUCACAGAAGAUGCUGUAUACUAACACUUUUUGUUUGUGAAUAUGUUCUACCUAAUUAUAAAUAAGGUAAUCUUGUUUCCAAGACCUUGUGUAAAAAGAAAUCCUAUAUCCGUGUGUCUAUCAUCAGUCUUGUACAGAAAUGCAAGGCCGCCCGCUUAGCUCAGUAGGGAGAGCGUUGGUCUGCGGAUAGCGAGGCGUAUGUUCUUUGUUACGGUUCGAUUAAAGACAUUGUGUCUGAAAUCAUUCGUCCUCCACCUCUGAUAAUUCAUGUUGGGAGGUUGACAGUCACUUGCGGAGAACAGGUUUGUACUGUUACAGAAUCCAGGAACUCUGGUUAGGUUAACUGC